CCUACGGGUGGCAGCAGUAGGGAAUAUUGCUCAAUGGGGGAAACCCUGAAGCAGCAACGCCGCGUGGAGGAUGAAGGUUUUCGGAUUGUAAACCUCUUUUGUCAGGGAACAAAGGCGGGGACUAGUCCCCGGAUGAGGGUACCUGAAGAAAAAGCAUCGGCUAACUCCGUGCCAGCAGCCGCGGUAAUACGGAGGAUGCGAGCGUUAGCCGGUUUUAUUGGGUUAAAAGGGUGCGCAGGCGGCCUGUUAAGUCAGCGGUAAAAGCCCGGGGCUCAACCCCGGCGAGCCGUGGAAACUGGCGGGCUGGAGUUGGAGAGAAGUACGCGGAAUGCGCGGUGUAGCGGUGAAAUGCUUAGAUAUCGCGCAGAACCCCGAUUGCGAAGGCAGCGUACCGGCUCCACACUGACGCUGAGGCACGAAAGCGUGGGUAUCGAACAGGAUUAGAUACCCGAGUAGUC
rnacentral:rRNA from 1 species